CUCUUCCGGAAGGGUAUCCCAAAUACCAUUACUAAUUAGCUUUCGCAAGUGGUCGCUGUCAACAGUGAAAGCUCUUCGAGCCUCAGCUGAGCUCCAAGCAACGCGUUGAACUGAACGCGGGGUUUCUUCCCUACUACGCAACCAAACUGGAUGCAAUAUUGCUUUUCUCCAAUUGGUGAGCGACAUCUUCUUAACUUUCCCCUCCACCAUUUCAUAACAUUCUGGCUCCUCAGUAAACACACCACCCAUACAAGCAGCGACGUAAAUCACGAUCACAAAGGUUGAUGGGAUAGGUUUGGAGUUUUCAUCCAACACUGGCUCGAAGAAUAUUUCCCAGUGUUCCCCUCGUUUUGGUUGCCCAAUCUGCUCAGGCCAAAUCAUCUUGUUGAUGGCAUUCUCAAUUAUCUUUGUUAUUUUCCUCUUGUCUUCCUCAUUCAAAAUUAGCUCUCCUUCAACAACUUUGUCAUCUUUGAUGCCAUAGUAGAUAUGACCUCCGUUAUAAUUGGCAAACGCUGAAACAUAGCAACUGAAUUUAUUUCCUUUACCAGUCAUACGAUCUGCUAGGGUGGUACGUUUUGAUGGACCUGCUUUUACAUGCUUGAACUGAAUACACAUGGUUUCGUGAAAAUCACAGUUUUCACCUCUUGGAAAUAUUUUGCAAUGUGAGCCAGGUUGGACUAAUUCCGAGACGAUUUUUCUGUUGAUGAUAUCGUUGACGUUUUCUAUUUUUUCCAGAGGAGAUGCG